rnacentral:rRNA from 1 species
UACGAAGGGUGCAAACGUUGCUCGGAAUUAUUGGGCGUAAAGCGCACGUAGGCGGCUUAGCAAGUCGGAAGUGAAAUCCCACGGCUCAACCAUGGAAGUGCUUUCGAAACUGCUGAGCUUGAGUACAAAAGAGGAUCGCGGAAUUCCCGGUGUAGAGGUGAAAUUCGUAGAUAUCGGGAGGAAUACCAGUGGCGAAGGCGGCGACCUGGGCCAAUACUGACGCUGAGGUGCGAAAGCGUGGGGAGCAAACAGG